GGUAAUUAAUUUCAAUGGUUAUUUGGUUGCCCAGAUAGUGAAUAACACACUUUUUUUUAUUUCAAGCACAGUAAACUUGAACAUGGAAAAGAGAAAGGGAAUAAAACCAAACAAAACCAACAAACCAAAUGAGGUAAUCUCCAGAUAUAGCAUAUACAUUGGAUUGAAACACAUCUGAAACAUUUGAGACAUGCUUCUGAUCAACUAUUAACAGGAAAGUAAGAUCAUUUUUAAAAACAGUCCAUGAGCCACUGUGAAAAUCUUACUUUUUAGUAAGAUGAUGACGACGAUGACGACGACGAUGAUUGAACAACAACUCUCUGAACUCUGUUGGUCUUGUGGACACUUUGCCAAGCUCUGACCAAUGCUAGAAACA